UACGGGGGGGGCAAGCGUUGUUCGGAAUUACUGGGCGUAAAGGGCUCGUAGGCGGCCAACUAAGUCAGACGUGAAAUCCCUCGGCUUAACCGGGGAACUGCAUCUGAUACUGGAUGGCUUGAGUUCGGGAGAGGGAUGCGGAAUUCCAGGUGUAGCGGUGAAAUGCGUAGAUAUCUGGAGGAACACCGGUGGCGAAGGCGGCAUCCUGGACCGACACUGACGCUGAGAAGCGAAAAGCCAGGGGAGCAAACGGG
rnacentral:rRNA from 1 species